AGGAAGAAAGAGCUCUCAGUCAUGAAAGGAAAGCCAAGCCCAAUACAAGAGCAAUGUCUGACACUGCUGUGGGAGGAAGAAACCCCGCUCCUCGUGCUGGAAAUGCUCCUCCUACUGGUUCUUAGUAUAUUGCAGAGCAGUAUUUAUACAACAAGACAGGAGCACCACCAACUUAAAGAAGAAACGAAAAAAAAGAACUAACCAAUAAAACUAGGUAUAGAGGAUGAUUUUAGACCCUCAGCCAGUGGGCUGAGUGAAACAGCCUGACAGGAG